CUACGGGCUGCACCAGUGAGGAAUAUUGCACAAUGGGGGGAACCCUGAUGCAGCAACGCCGCGUGGAGGAUGACGCAUUUCGGUGUGUAAACUCCUUUUAUAUGUCAAGAAAAUGACGGUAGCAUAUGAAUAAGCACCGGCUAACUCCGUGCCAGCAGCCGCGGUAAUACGGAGGGUGCAAGCGUUACUCGGAAUCACUGGGCGUAAAGGACGCGUAGGCGGGUUGGAAAGUCAGGUGUGAAAUCCCACAGCUUAACUGUAGAACUGCACUUGAAACUUCUAAUCUAGAGUAUGGGAGGGGGAGAUGGAAUUAGUGGUGUAGGGGUAAAAUCCGUAGAUAUCACUAGGAAUACCUAAAGCGAAGGCGAUCUCCUGGAACAUUACUGACGCUAAGGCGUGAAAGCGUGGGGAGCAAACAGGAUUAGAUACCCUAGUAAUC
rnacentral:rRNA from 1 species